rnacentral:misc_RNA from 1 species
CAGCAUCUUGACUUUUUUUUACCCAAUAUAGCUCGACCAUACAAAUAGUUUAGGUGAUUCAAACUUGUUUUACCUAACAGAAGUUAUUGUCCUGCAACCAGAAAUACAGUGCUUGCUAGUAUGGAAAUGUUAGUGUAUACACAAACAUGCCAAAACUAAUAGCUGGCUUUAUAUUAUAUAAGCAUGAAGCAUUGUUAGUUUUAUCAUUUAUAGCUAGUCAAUGCACCUAGGAAAAUAAUUUAGGUCAUAAGCAGGUGUGUUCAUUGUCCUUCCUUUCGAAUACCAAGGCUUAGGCUGUAAUUUAAUCAACACAAAUUACACCACAACCAUAUGCUUCAUUGUUGAACAUCAAUUUCAAAGUUCUUCAAACAUCUAAAGAACACAAGUAUUGUUGGGUUUUUUGCAAAACAAAACUAGGCAAUAUACUGUGAUCAUUGCAACU